AGUGAACGCUGGCGGCGUGCUUAAUACAUGCAAGUCGAACGAGAACGGAUUAUAGCUUGCUAUAAUUGUCAGCUAAGUGGCGCACGGGUGAGUAAUGUAUAGAUAACCUGCCCUCUAGAAAGGAAUAACAGUUGGAAACGACUGCUAAUGCCCUAUAUGCCUUUAAUACAUAAGUAUGCAAGGGAAACGCUUUAGUGCUAGAGGAUGGGUCUGUAUGGUAUCAGUUAGUUGGUGAGGUAAUGGCUCACCAAGACUAUGACGCCUAACUGGUUUGAGAGGAUGAUCAGUCACACUGGAACUGAGACACGGUCCAGACUCCUACGGGAGGCGGCAGUGGGGAAUAUUGCACAAUGGACGAAAGUCUGAUGCAGCAACGCCGCGUGGAGGAUGACACAUUUCGGUGCGUAAACUCCUUUUAUAUAGGAAGAUAAUGACGGUACUAUAUGAAUGAGCACCGGCUAACUCCGUGCCAGCAGCCGCGGUAA
rnacentral:rRNA from 1 species